CGUCGCGUAGCUCAGUCAGACAGAGCGCCUGCCCGACAUGCAGGAGGUCUCCGGUGCAAUCCCGGACGCGACGACCA
rnacentral:tRNA from 1 species